AAUGAACGUUGGCGGCAUGGAUUAGGCAUACAAGUUGGGGGAAUCCCAGCAAUGGGGGAACCGGCGUAAGGGGCAGUAAGGCAUGGGUACCUACCUUGGGGUUCGGGAUAGCCAUCAGAGAUGGUGGGUAAUACCGGAUGACGUCGUGAGACCAAAGAUUUAUCGCCCUUAGAGGGGCCCAUGUGAUAUUAGCUAGUUGGUGGGGUAACGGCCCACCAAGGCGAAGAUGUCUAGCGGGUGUGAGAGCACGACCCGCGCCACUCGCACUGAGACACUGGCGAGACACCUACGGGUGGCUGCAGUCGAGGAUCUUCGGCAAUGAGCGCAAGCUUGACCGAGCGAUGCCGCGUGAGCGAUGAAGGCCUUCGGGUUGUAAAGCUCUUUAGUGGGGGAGAAAAGCCGCAAGGUGUGAUCUAUCCCAAAAAUAAGCACGGGCUAAGUUCGUGCCAGCCGCCGCGGUAA
rnacentral:rRNA from 1 species